CCUACGGGAGGCAGCAGUGGGGAAUAUUGGACAAUGGGCGCAAGCCUGAUCCAGCAAUUCCGCGUGGGUGAAGAAGGUCUUCGGAUUGUAAAGCCCUUUCGACGGGGACGAUGAUGACGGUACCCGUAGAAGAAGCCCCGGCUAACUUCGUGCCAGCAGCCGCGGUAAUACGAAGGGGGCUAGCGUUGCUCGGAAUUACUGGGCGUAAAGGGCGCGUAGGCGGCUUAGUUAGUCAGGCGUGAAAGCCCUGGGCUCAACCUGGGGACUGCGCUUGAUACGGCUAGGCUAGAGGAUGGAAGAGGGUCGCGGAAUUCCCAGUGUAGAGGUGAAAUUCGUAGAUAUUGGGAAGAACACCGGUGGCGAAGGCGGCGACCUGGUCCAUUACUGACGCUGAGGCGCGACAGCGUGGGGAGCAAACAGGAUUAGAUACCCUGGUAGUCCACGCCGUAAACGAUGUGCGCUGGAUGUUGGGUGACCUAGUCACUCAGUGUCGUAGCUAACGCGGUAAGCGCACCGCCUGGGGAGUACGGCCGCAAGGUUGAAACUCAAAUGAAUUGACGG
rnacentral:rRNA from 1 species